AGCGAACAGACGAGUGAGCUUGCUCCUCUGACGUUAGCGGCGGACGGGUGAGUAACACGUGGAUAACCUACCUAUAAGACUGGGAUAACUUCGGGAAACCGGAGCUAAUACCGGAUAAUAUAUUGAACCGCAUGGUUCAAUAGUGAAAGACGGUUUUGCUGUCACUUAUAGAUGGAUCCGCGCCGCAUUAGCUAGUUGGUAAGGUAACGGCUUACCAAGGCAACGAUGCGUAGCCGACCUGAGAGGGUGAUCGGCCACACUGGAACUGAGACACGGUCCAGACUCCUACGGGAGGCAGCAGUAGGGAAUCUUCCGCAAUGGGCGAAAGCCUGACGGAGCAACGCCGCGUGAGUGAUGAAGGUCUUCGGAUCGUAAAACUCUGUUAUUAGGGAAGAACAAAUGUGUAAGUAACUAUGCACGUCUUGACGGUACCUAAUCAGAAAGCCACGGCUAACUAC
rnacentral:rRNA from 1 species